rnacentral:rRNA from 1 species
GAUGAACGCUGGCGGCGUGCCUAAUACAUGCAAGUCGAGCGAACAGACGAGGAGCUUGCUUCUCUGACGUUAGCGGCGGACGGGUGAGUAACACGUGGAUAACCUACCUAUAAGACUGGGAUAACUUCGGGAAACCGGAGAUAAUACCGGAUAAUAUAUUGAACCGCAUGGUUCUAUAGUGAAAGCCGGUUUUGCUGUCACUUAUACAUGGAUCCGCGCCGCAUUAGCUAGUUGGUAAGGUAACGGCUUACCAAGGCAACGAUGCGUAGCCGACCUGAGAGGGUGAUCGGCCACACUGGAACUGAGACACGGUCCAGACUCCUACGGGAGGCAGCAGUAGGGAAUCUUCCGCAAUGGGCGAAAGCCUGACGGAGCAACGCCGCGUGAGUGAUGAAGGUCUUCGGAUCGUAAAACUCUGUUAGUAGGGAAGAACAAAUGUGUAAGUAACUAUGCACGUCUUGACGGUACCUAAUCAGAAAGCCACGGCUAACUACGUG